GACGAACGCUGGCGGCGUGCUUAACACAUGCAAGUCGAACGGAAAGGCCUGCUUUCCCUUGUGGAUUGCGGGUACUCGAGUGGCGAACGGGUGAGUAACACGUGAGUGAUCUGCCCCCAACUUGGGUAUAAGCCUGGGAAACUGGGUCUAAUUCCCGAUAGGACUGCAGGGUGGUGCCUGUGGUGGAAAACGAUUUUCUAGUGGUUGGGGAUGAGCUCGCGGCCUAUCAGCUUGUUGGUGGGGUAAUGGCCUACCAAGGCGGCGACGGGUAGCCGGACUGAGAGGGUGGACGGCCACAUUGAGACUGGGAUACGGCCCAGACGCCUACGGGAGGCAGCAGUGGGGAAUAUUGGGGAAUGGGCGGAAGCCUGAUGCAGCGACGCCGCGUGGGGGAUGACGGCCUUCGGGUUGUAAACUCCUUUCGACCGCGAGGAAGCCACGUGGUUGGAAGGGUGGUGACGGUAGUGGUAGAAGAAGCACCGGCUAACUACGUG
rnacentral:rRNA from 1 species